rnacentral:rRNA from 1 species
GUCCUUUUGAAUUUAAUUUAAGGUUUGACCUGCCCMCUGAAUAUUAAAGGGCCGCGGUAUUUUGACCGUGCUAAGGUAGCAUAAUCAUUAGUUUUUUAAUUGAAAGCUGGAAUGAAUGGUUGAAUGAAAAAAUAACUGUCUCUUUUUAAAUUUAAUUGAAUUUUAUAUUUAAGUAAAAAAGCUUAAAUUAUUUUAAAAGACGAGAAGACCCUAUAGAGUUUUAUAGAUUAUUAAAUAAAAAUUUUUAGGAUUAAUAUUUUUUAUUAUAAUAAUUUAUUUGGUUGGGGUGAUUGAAAAAUUUAAUAAACUUUUUUUUUAUUAAUUCAUUAAUUUAUGUAUAUUUGAUCCAUUUAUUAUGAUUAUAAGAAUAAAUUACCUUAGGGAUAACAGCGUAAUUUUUUUUUAGAGUUCAAAUUAAAAAAAAAGAUUGCGACCUCGAUGUUGGAUUAAAAUUUAUUUUUGGUGUAGAAGCUAAAAUAUUAAGUCUGUUCGACUUUUAAAAUUUUACAUGA